rnacentral:rRNA from 1 species
UACGUAGGGGGCUAGCGUUGUCCGGAUUUAUUGGGCGUAAAGAGCGUGUAGGCGGCCAGAUAGGUCUGCUGUGAAAACUCGAGGCUCAACCUCGAGAUGUCGGCGGAAACCAUUUGGCUAGAGUCCGGAAGAGGAAAGUGGAAUUCCUGGUGUAGCGGUGAAAUGCGCAGAUAUCAGGAAGAACACCAAUGGCGAAGGCAGCUCUCUGGGACGGUACUGACGCUGAGACGCGAAAGCGUGGGGAGCGAACAGG